UCUCAAGUAAAUUAGGUCAAACAAAUUUUAAGGAGAUUCAAUCAAAUUUCAGGCAGGUGCUGAUCCAAAUGGUGCACCAGAUGGAAUAAAAGCUCUUCCACUUGCUGCAGGGGUAACACAAAUCAUCAAGCUGCUGGUUGAUGCUGGUGCAGAUUUAGAUGUUAAAAAUAUACUGUUGUCGGUAAUCCUCAAGGUGUUGAGAUUCUUUUUCCCGUGACUUCUCAUAUUCCAUCAUAUGAUGACUGGAGCAUAAAUGGAACAAUGAAGCAUGUGGAAUCUAAGAAGUUCAAGAAAUGAUUACCGAGUUUGAUUUUGAUGGUUGUCUUGCUAACACCGAUGCGAGAAGGUGUUUCACUCGAUGUGCUUUCACCUGGUAUCAAGGCAAUUUUUAACUGUCUUUCCCGGUCAAAG